rnacentral:rRNA from 1 species
UACAGAGACUGCAAGCGUUAUUCGGAUUCACUGGGCGUAAAGGGUGCGCAGGUGGCCAAGUGUGUUAGGCGUGAAAGCCCGGGGCUUAACCCCGGAAUUGCACCUAAAACUACAUGGCUAGAGCAUUGGAGAGGGGAGCAGAAUUCACGGUGUAGCAGUGAAAUGCGUAGAGAUCGGGGAGGAACACCAAAGGCGAAGGCAGUGUCCUGGGGAGUACCUGACGCUCAGGUGCGAAAGCCAGGGGAGCGAACGGG